rnacentral:tRNA from 1 species
GCUCCUAUCGUUUAAUGGUUGAAGACAAUGUUUUUUCGUAACAUUAAUGUAAGUUCGAGUCUUACUAGGAGUA